UACGGAGGAUGCAAGCGUUAUCCGGAUUUUAUUUGGGUUUAAAGGGUGCGCAGGUUGUUUGAUAAGUCAGUGGUGAAAGUCUGUCGCUUAACGGUAGGAUUGCCAUUGAUACUGUUAGACUUGAAUAUGGAUGAGGUAGGCGGAAUGUGUAGUGUAGCGGUGAAAUGCAUAGAUAUUACACAGAACACCGAUUGCGAAGGCAGCUUACUAAUCCAUCAUUGACGCUGAGGCACGAAAGCGUGGGGAUCAAA
rnacentral:rRNA from 1 species